GAUGAACGCUGGCGGCGUGCCUAAUACAUGCAAGUCGAGCGAACGGACGAGAAGCUUGCUUCUCUGAUGUUAGCGGCGGACGGGUGAGUAACACGUGGAUAACCUACCUAUAAGACUGGGAUAACUUCGGGAAACCGUAGCUAAUACCGGAUAAUAUUUUGAACCGCAUGGUUCAAAAGUGAAAGACGGUCUUGCCGUCACUUAUAGAUGGGUCCGCGCUGCAUUAGCUAGUUGGUAAGGUAACGGCUUACCAAGGCAACGAUGCAUAGCCGACCUGAGAGGGUGAUCGGCCACACUGGAACUGAGACACGGUCCAGACUCCUACGGGAGGCAGCAUUAGGGAAUCUUCCGCAAUGGGCGAAAGCCUGACGGAGCAACGCCGCGUGAGUGAUGAAGGUCUUCGGAUCGUAAAACUCUGUUAUUAGGGAAGAACAUAUGUGUAAGUAACUGUGCACAUCUUGACGGUACCUAAUCAGAAAGCCACGGCUAACUACGUG
rnacentral:rRNA from 1 species